UGGAAGCUGUCUUCAGCGCGGCGGCGGGGCUUUUGUAAACUCUGUCGGAUGGAGAGGGGGUGGAGUGGCGGUGAUUUUGCCGGCUGCUUCCCCGAGACAGUGAGAAGUGGGACAGAGUUCCCGGGGGGAGAUUGAUUUCUGUCAUGUGUCUCCAUAAUCCUCUGAAUUUCCUGUAGUCACGGACAAGAUGAUAAUGAGGGAGAUUGAGUCCAUCGGGUUGUGCUGUGGGAUGUCUCGAUAGACUAUUCUUCUUCUGUACUGAUGGUGGGUUGCACCUGUCAGCAACCCGCCCAGCCCCGACUCUUUCUGCUCGCCAAAACCCAUCGGCUCCCCUCACUCAAACCGCCAGAGCCGACACUGUCCGGUUGUGUCCGCUCUCCCGGCCCGAUCCUCCCCCCACACUCCCUCACCCUCCGUGUCUGCCACACUCGCUUCAAUAGUCUGAUAACUGCUGUCCGUCACACGGACAUUUCCCCAGAUAUGGGCCCCGUCCGACACUCCCCACGCUGGCGGCUGCGACUGUCGGCCGGCGGGGCCGCCCGAUGUGGGGCAGGAAGGGGCGGCCGAGCCGGAGUGUGAGCGGGAGAAGGGAGUCGGUGGCCGAGAGGUCAGGAAUUGAGGGAAUUCUGGCCGUGGGGGAGAGGAAGCGACCGGGGAGCCCCAAGCUGGGGCGGCACGGCCCAGUCGGAAGGUUGGGGAGGGGAGCCUGGAUCCAGGGGAGAGGGAAUCAGAUCAGGAGGUUGGGAACCUGCAUGUGGGUGAGGGGAGACUGAAUCUGGAUAUGGAUCCGGAGCCUGGAUGCCACAAUUUACAGGCGGCAAUAUGGAAGCGGGGACGGGCUCUGAGGAAAGGGGCAGGGGGUCAAGCCUCAGGAACUGGCAGUUGGCCCAAAGAUGAACAGGAUGGACGGAAACUGGAUCCUGGUGAGGAGAGAGUGAAAAUGUGAAGUGAGGGCAGAGGAAGGGUCGGAGAUGAUCAGGAGCUGAACGACAACGAGAGGCCGGGGGUCCAGAUAAAACAUAGAACAACACGGCACAGUGCCCGAAGAGAUCUUGUAAAAUAUAGAGAAGGUCGAAUCCCAACUCUAAUGGAGCAGAUGAAGGCAAAAAUGAUAGUAAAAUAGAUCUGUGUAUGUGAGAGAGUUUGAGCGGUUAAAUGUCAAGGAAAAAAUGCUGCAUCAAGUUUAGUUUUAAUAUAAAAUCAACGCAGUGGUCUCCUGUGUCGAAUGAAGUGGUUCACGGUCUUCUGUCACCAUCGCCCAUCCCUUCAAGGAGAAUGCAUCCUCUACAAUCAACUGAAGUUCCUGGACUGGGAAGUGAAAGUACUGACUGCACGUGGCGUCUCACACUUCUCUGGAAAUGGCGACAAAUUGAGAUGGUUCAAUGACUUGACAUUUAGGAGUUGAGGCCCGGUCACCAGUCGGUGGGGAUGCAGCAGAAUGCCAUGGAAAUGUCCAGUGACCACUGUUUCACCAUCGUCUUUAAAGGCAGCAAGCUGGACCUGGUGGCCACUGACAGCAAGGAGGCCUGGCACUGAAACUAUCACUUCACCAAACUCAAGAAACGAGACUCCAGCAUGAACAAGAGAGAGUAACUUGUGAUGCUGGGGUCAAAUCAACACGUAGAAACAAGCUGGAUGAACUCAGCAUGUCGGGCAGCAUCCGUUGAAAUGAGCAGUCAACAUUUUGGGCCGAGACCCUUCGUCAGGACUGAAGUCCUUCCAGAAUGUGACAACAUCCAGGAGUUGAAGCCAGGUCAUCAGUCGGAGGUCAUGCAGUGGUACACCAAGGAGAUGCCCACCAGCCGCUGCUUCACCAUUGUCUUCAAAGGCAGGAAUGAAAACACGGACCUGGUGACCCUCAAUGGCACAGAGGCCUGCCUCUGGAUCUAUGUCUUCA